GCAUCCCGUCCCGAGGUGAGAAGGUUUAGCAGGCUGUUGGGCUGGACUACAGCUGCUGUGAUGACCAGCAGAGCCAACAGGAGCCCCUGGACCUGAGCCGAACACACACCUACAUCAAUGGUUCUUAUGGUUGGGAUGCCUACAAGGUGGCAUCCCUUCUGGUCCUAAGGAGGAACUGUGACUGGGAACUGGAAGAGCCAGCAUGAGACAAUGAAGAGAACGUUCUCCACAUGUAGCUCUGAAGAUGCCAUAUACCCAACGUGGCUUUUCUGUUUCCGUUGCUGGGCUGCUGGGGCCUGGGACCAGGGCCAUGCAGGAGGAACAGCAGAACAGCUUUGAACGCAUGGACUGCAGCCCACCAGUUGGCACAACCGCUAUGGGUGUGCCCGCCAGGAUUUUAUGCAGCUCUGCUUGUUGUCUUCAUGGUCAUCACAUCCCUCAUAGUACAUGGGUUGUAUGUACCCUCACUGGGCAGUGUCACUGGCACUUAAAACAUUAGUGUGUGAUCUUUUUCAAGCAUUGCUGCUGGAGCAGAUGAUUCAACCACCACCCUUGGAAAGAACCUAGAGAUGUAGAUUCUUGGUAAAGUUGGGAUGUUUUGUUAGUGGCCUUGAUGUAGAAAAUCUUAGGAAACAAUUUGCAGUUUAGAAAGGCACAGUCUUAAUAGUUGAGCUAGGGACUUUUUGAGGUCAGGGAACAAGAAGAAUAGCAGCCUGAUUAGCACUGGCUAAAGCUGAUGAUUGAUUUCUUGUACCCAUUUUUGCCCUUGGCUUCCUGACAUAUUUUUUUCUUUUUUUUCACUUUUUAUUUAUAUAUUUUUCAGAGUUAUUUUUUUAAGUAUUAUUUUUAUUUUUAUUACAGGUUAUUCACUUUGUAUCUCCCCUGUACCUCCCUCCCUCCCUCCUCCCCUCCCAAUCCCACCCUCCCUUCCUGAUAUAAUUUAAUAAAAAAAUGUUAAUGAGUAGAUGUGCACCAUGAGGAUUUAAAGUAGAAAUGACUGUUUUUUUUUAAUAUAAGUUUAGAUUUGCGAUUCUUUUAAGAUUAUUAAGUUACUUUUUAAGAUAAAUAAUAAAAUAACCAAUUCUUUUUUUGUAACUGCAAAUUGCACCUGCCAGUAAACAGGAUGAGAAAAUAAAUAACCUUACUGCCUUACAUUUUGUUACACUGUAACAAAUUUCUUAGUUACCAAUGUAGGUGGAUUCUUGAGAAUAAUUUGUUUUGUUUUGUUUUGAGACAGGGUUUCUCUGUGUUGACCUGGUUGUCCUGGACUCCCUUUGUAGACCAGGAUGGCCUCGAACUCACAGAGCUCUGCCUACCUCUGCCUCCUGAGUACAAGUGCUGGGAUUUAAGGCAUGUGCCACCACCAUGCCCAGCUAGAGAAUUUGUUUUCACCUAUAAUACUUAGAAGCACUUGAUCUUGUGAGGCUAUUGGGGAACAUGUUUUUUCCUACAUAUAUUCACUGUAACCGUUCAUUCAAAGAAAAAGAGAAUGAAACCACAUUGUAAAUGUC